GACGAACGCUGGCGGCGUGCUUAACACAUGCAAGUCGAACGGAAAGGCCCUGCUUUUGUGGGGUGCUCGAGCGGCGAACGGGUGAGUAACACGUGAGUAACCUGCCCUUGACUUUGGGAUAACUUCAGGAAACUGGGGCUAAUACCGGAUAGGAGCUCCUGCUGCAUGGUGGGGGUUGGAAAGUUUCGGCGGUUGGGGAUGGACUCGCGGCUUAUCAGCUUGUUGGUGGGGUAGUGGCUUACCAAGGCUUUGACGGGUAGCCGGCCUGAGAGGGUGACCGGCCACAUUGGGACUGAGAUACGGCCCAGACUCCUACGGGAGGCAGCAGUGGGGAAUAUUGCACAAUGGGCGGAAGCCUGAUGCAGCAACGCCGCGUGCGGGAUGACGGCCUUCGGGCUGUAAACCGCUUUCGCCUGUGACGAAGCGUGAGUGACGGUAAUGGGUAAAGAAGCACCGGCUAACUACGU
rnacentral:rRNA from 1 species